rnacentral:misc_RNA from 1 species
GAAAUGCGAUAAGUAGUGUGAAUUGCAGAAUUCAGUGAAUCAUCGAAUCUAUGAACGCACAUUGCGCCCCUUGGUAUUCCAUGGGGCAUGCCUGUUCGAGCGUCAUUUGUACCCUCAAGCUCUGCUUGGUGUUGGGUGUUUGUCCCGUCUCCGCGCGUGGACUCGCCCCAAAGUGAUUGGCAGCCGGCGUACUGGUCCCGGAGCGCAGCACAUGUCGCGCAAACGAGUGCCUUGGUACGGCGGCGUCCAUAAGCCCCUCUCUCACGCUCUUGACCUCGGAUCAGGUAGGGAUACCCGCUGAACUUAAGC